UACGUAGGGGUGCGAGCGUUUGUCCGGAAUUAUUGGGCGUAAAGAGCUUGUAGGCGGUUUGUCGCGUCUGCUGUGAAAAUCCGGGGCUCAACCCCGGACUUGCAGUGGGUACGGGCAGACUAGAGUGAUGUAGGGGAGACUGGAAUUCCUGGUGUAGCGGUGAAAUGCGCAGAUAUCAGGAGGAAUACCGAUGGCGAAGGCAGGUCUCUGGGCCACUACUGACGCUGAGAAGCGAAAGCUGGGGAGCGAACAGG
rnacentral:rRNA from 1 species